rnacentral:pre_miRNA from 1 species
UAAUUCGAUUUUUAGCUAUGAUUGUCCAAACGCAAUUCUUGUUGAUUUCAAAUACUCAAGGGUUGCAUCUGGGCAUCGCGGCUCGAAAUAAGAAUAC